CAGGCCGCCCGUGACAGGCCGAGCCACCUGGGGCGGCGCUGUGGUCGGGCCCCCGUGUGUUUUCCUGUGUCUCGUGGUCUGUCUCCCCGGGGGAGCGGAGCGGCUGAGGCUGGAGAGGCCCCUUGUUCGUGCACUGAGUGGGGGCGACCCUGCGCCUCACCCCAGCGCCGCCCAGAGCGGCGGCCACCUGGGGCCGGUGCCGGUGUCUGCCGGCAGCCAGUGUGUGUGGCCCGAGCGUGGCAGGGUCUGUUUUGCCAAAGGUGGGGCUGGCCGGACAGACCGCCAGCGUGGUGGGCGCCUGAGGGGUCCGGCCGCGGGGCCCGUGCCCGGGAGGCGUCGGUGUUCUCGUUCCAAACUGCUUUAGAUGUUGCUGCUCGGGGCCGGAGCCUUCCCAGCCGAUGGGUCCGCGCAGCCCGCCCCGUGGGCCCUGGGCUGGCAGUGGGGCGCGCCCUGGCUCCUGUGGGGGGCCACCGGCAGUCUGGGGAGGCCCCCUGCCUCCCUGGCUCCAGCGCGUCCCCCCAGGGCCCGGUGGCAGCAGGGGUGAAGUGGCUGGUCUCACUCCGCUGUCGCUUCUGAGCCGUGAGCGAGCGUGUGGCAUAGGCUGGCCCGUGUGUCCUGUUGCCCCGGAUGUGACCCCUCCUGUGGAGUCGGCGAGAGCCCCCUUUUUACAGCCCUCACCCGCGGUGGGCGCCACCUGUGCUGCAGGCGUGGCCGUGGGGGGUGUCCGUGUGCACGUGUGUACAUGUGUGUGUCGCGCAGCCCUCCUGACGGCUGCUGUGAGCGGCAAAGUGGCCGGUACAAUAAAAGGCGGCUUCCAAACGGCCUCUGUUUCUUGGCGUGUCGGGGCGGGCGGAGGGUCCCCCCAGCUCCUCUGCGGGGGGCCCGGAAGAGACCACUGACGCAGCCCCGUAUCCAGGGUUUGUGGAUGGCCGGCGGGGCACCUGGACUGCCAGGGCGGCCACCGUCGGCCUCCGCAGGGCAGGGCGUCCCCGGCCCCCCCCCCCCGUGGCGGUCGUGCGGCCCACAGGCGUGUGUCCCCGUGAGACGUCUGUCUGGGAGGUGGUGGGAGCCCUCUCCUCGUGGACGUGGAGACUCGGAGACCAGCUCUCGGAGCACCUGAGGGAACCAGUGACCAAGCGUUCUGAGCCGUCGGUGUUGGGACCACGGGGCGGCGGGCAGCGCGGGGCCCGGCCGUCCCCGGAGGAGGGACUCGUGCUGCCCGCCACGUGUGGGCGGCACGCACUGGAACGGGCUGCGCUGUGUUCGACCCCGAGUGCGUGGGCGGCGCUGCCGGGCCGGCUCUGUCCUGGGGGCUGCGCACCGGGGGCUGGCCCAGGGGCCAGGGCUGCCCACGGUGAGCCCCACCCUGUGUGUCUGGGUGUCCGCCCGGAAGUGAAGAUGUAAUGGUUGUAAAAUAAAUGUUUUCACUGCA